rnacentral:rRNA from 1 species
UACGGGGGGGGGCAAGCGUUGUUCGGAAUUACUGGGCGUAAAGGGCUCGUAGGCGGCCAACUAAGUCGGAUGUGAAAUCCCCAGGCUUAACCUGGGAACUGCAUCCGAUACUGGAUGGCUUGAAUCCGGGAGAGGGAUGCAGAAUUCCAGGUGUAGCGGUGAAAUGCGUAGAUAUCUGGAGGAAUACCGGUGGCGAAGGCGGCGACCUGGACAGAUACUGACACUAAACUACGAAAGCGUGGGGAGCAAACAGG